rnacentral:rRNA from 1 species
UACAGAGGGGGCAAGCGUUAUUCGGAAUUAUUGGGCGUAAAGGGCGCGUAGGCGGCUUUUCAAGUGACGGGUGAAAUCCCUCGGCUUAACCGAGGAACUGCCUGUCAGACUGGAAGGCUUGAGACCGGGAGAGGUGAGUGGAAUUCCCAGUGUAGCGGUGAAAAUGCGUAGAUAUUGGGAGGAACACCAGUGGCGAAGGCGGCUCACUGGACCGGAACUGACGCUGAGGCGCGAAAGCGUGGGGAGCAAACAGGG